GUUUAUGGCCAUAUCACAUAUAAAAACUGGUCCUCAUCCGAUCACCAAAAUUAAGCAAUGUUGAUUCUAUUUAGUACUUAGAUGGGUGACCACUUGGGAAACCUAGGUGCUAUAAGCA
rnacentral:rRNA from 1 species